rnacentral:rRNA from 1 species
GACGAACGCUGGCGGCGUGCUUAACACAUGCAAGUCGAACGGAAAGGCCCUGCUUUUGGGGGGUGCUCGAGUGGCGAACGGAUGAGUAAGACGUGAGUAACCUGCCCUUGACUUUGGGAUAACUUCAGGAAACUGGGGCUAAUACCGGAUAGGAGCUCCUCCUGCGUGGUGGGGGGUGGAAAUUUUCGGCGGUUGGGGAUGGACUCGCGGCUUAUCGGCUUGUUGGUGGGGUAGUGGCUUACCAAGGCUUUGACGGGUAGCCGGCCUGAGAGGGUGACCGGCCACAUUGGGACUGAGAUACGGCCCAGACUCCUACGGGAGGCAGCAGUGGGGAAUAUUGCACAAUGGGCGGCAGCCUGAUGCAGCAACGCCGCGUGCGGGAUGACGGCCUUCGGGUUGUAAACCGCUUUCGCCUGUGACGAAGCGUGAGUGACGGUAAUGGGUAAAGAAGCACCGGCUAACUACGUG